rnacentral:rRNA from 1 species
GACGAACGCUGGCGGCGUGCUUAACACAUGCAAGUCGAACGGAAAGGCCCUGCUUUUGUGGGGUGCUCGAGUGGCGAACGGGGGAGUAACACGUGAGUAACCUGCCCUUGACUUUGGGAUAACUUCAGGAAACUGGGGCUAAUACCGGAUAGGAGCUCCUGCUGCAUGGUGGGGGUUGGAAAGUUUCGGCGGUUGGGGAUGGACUCGCGGCUUAUCAGCUUGUUGGUGGGGUAGUGGCUUACCAAGGCUUUGACGGGUAGCCGGCCUGGGAGGGUGACCGGCCACAUUGGGACUGAGGUACGGACCAGACUCCUACGGUAGGCAGCAGUGGGGAAUAUUGCACAGUGGGCGGAAGUCUGAUGCAGCAACGCCGCGUGCGGGAUGACGGCCUUCGGGUUGUAAACCGCUUUCGCCUGUGACGAAGCGUGAGUGACGGUAAUGGGUAAAGAAGCACCGGCUAACUACGUG